rnacentral:rRNA from 1 species
GGACUACUAGGGUAUCUAAUCCUGUUUGCUCCCCGCACUUUCGCGCCUCAGCGUCAGUCUUCGGCUGGAAGUUCGCCUUCGCCACCGGUGUUCUUCCUGAUAUCUACAGAUUUCACCCCUACACCAGGAAUUCCAACUCCCCCUCCAAAACUCUAGUCUCACAGUUUCCAACGCAGUUCCCAAGUUAAGCUCAGGUAUUUCACGUCAGACUUGCAAAACCGCCUACGCGCCCUUUACGCCCAAUAAUUCCGAACAACGCUCGCCCCUUACGUGUUACCGCGGCUGCUGGCAC